rnacentral:rRNA from 1 species
CACGCCGUAAACGAUGGAUACUAGCUGUUCGGAGCAAUCUGAGUGGCUAAGCGAAAGUGAUAAGUAUCCCACCUGGGGAGUACGUUCGCAAGAAUGAAACUCAAAGGAAUUGACGGGGGCCCGCACAAGCGGUGGAGCAUGUGGUUUAAUUCGAUGAUACGCGAGGAACCUUACCAGGGCUUAAAUGUAGAUUGCAUGAUGUGGAAACACGUCUUUCUUCGGACUAUCUACAAGGUGC